AACGAUAUGUAACAUCAAACCUUAUUGUGUGACAUGCGAAGAAGCAACGAAGUAACCUUCUUUCUGAAUCGGACUUACUGCACAUUAUAAAGAGGGUUUGAGAGCUUUAUGGGACGGUCUGAUAUUCUCUUCGCGGGCAGAAAUUAUUCUAGAUAUAAUCAAUUUGCCCCGACAUUAGCUUAAUUCGAAAGGGCUAUGCGUUAAGGAAAAUUAAAAUGAAUGAAUACCUUGACCACAACACUAAACCAGUAACAUCGCCGAUUCAUAUCUCUCUCAUAUACACCCAGGAAAAAUCACACGCGCUUUAAAGAUGACGUAGUGUUUAAGAAUAAAUUACGUGUAAAUAACUUACGUCGAUGUAAGGCUACCAUUCUAGGUAUUCCAAUUUAUCCUGUUACCGUUUUUGAUCACGCGCCUAAUUACAUUCAUUGGUUAUAACAAUCAAACAAAAACGCAAAAUCUAACGUUUUCAGUUUCCUGCCGUGUGGUGUCCUUGAUGAUUUUCAAUGAAAUGGAUCGACAAUUAACAAAAGAGCCGAAUAUUUAUUCAACCAUAUCUAACAAGCCUCUUUUAUACUUUAAACCACCAGAACAGAUAACCCAGAUAGCACCAAUUUGUUAUUGCAAACAAAUCUAAACGUGUACCUGCUGCUUUCAAUAAAAACGAAAAAACACUCCAACUACAACCAUUAAUUAACUUGAUAUUACGAAUGGGUUAUGAGUUAGUUUCUCAACAAAACCCUAUCCUUUGCUAACCAUUACAAAACGCUACGUCAACCUCAAUAUGAUUCCAGCAGCGUUAAAUAAAAUAAAAUAAAAGCAAGAUGAAUAAAAGUUGAGAAGAUUUCGCACGAGAAAUUUAAAUCUCUGCUGGACGGAUAGAUGGAAUAAUAAUGAAAUGUCUCGCUAAGCAGUCGUCUCAGUUCUGUGUUGUACAGGUAUUUCACUCACCAACCAUCGCCUCGGAUCAGGAUACACAUCCAUCUAGUUCAGUUACCAGUUGAUCUUCAUCAUCUGAUACUAGCCAUCGUCAAGCCGCAAAAUACUAGCAACCACCAUUCUAGCUAUUUAAUUUUGCGAUAAACUCAUUCGUUUCACAAAGUAUUACAAUUUCUAGUCUACAUACGUUUUUUUUGCAUAUUUCAUAUCAACAGCGCAAAACUUUACACAGAACCAUUGUAUAACUUUACAUAAUACCAAUUAAAAACGAUCAGCGACGAGUUUGUAGUGGUAAAGCAUGUUAAGAUAAUUAGAUAGAACUAUCGUAUGGCCAUACGGAUCCGGACCUAAACAAGAUUUCGCUUUAAUAAUGCAAAUAACAGGAAAACACGUGAAGGUAUGGACCACAUUGGGAGCUUACUCGAUCAAAUCGACAGCACAAUUCGUUCCCAACCGAAACAGGCUUCGACGCUUGUUUUGCACACGAGUUUUUCCAGUUUGGAAGCAAAUGCUGGAAACUUAUUCUUUCUCCAGCUUCCUUUCCCAACCAUAGUAUCUUAGCUAUGCUGACGAUAGUGUUGUUCUCGGCAGGAAGUUCGAGAGAUCGUUUAUAAGUGUAAAUGAAAUGAAAUAUUCAUAUUACUUGAAGAGGACGGAAAUCCGGAAGAGAAACGAAACCUAACCAUAUAGUAAACGAAACGUGAGCGAUGAAAGCUGUUGCAUCUGAUGGCGUUGAGUUGCCGAGAUGAGCCGAAACGUCAUACUAACAAACAGAUAACAAACAUAGUGUCUACCCGGUUAGAACUAGCAUACCAUCAAGUGAUACCGCUUGCUGUAGUGAAAUAGUUUCCUAUAAAUAAUCCUAAUAACACAAAACAAUAGGAGCGUUCUCAUUCAGGUGCAGAAUUACAAAACAGCAUGAUGUUGAAUGUUUGAAACAAUGUAUAUGUCAAGCUUCCGGCAAGUCAACGCCUUCAAUGCGACAGGGGAGAGUCUUCAAUCGAAGAUUGGAGGGUGAACAUGCAAAAAGACAAAAACAAAAUUGCUUUGGAAGAUUGCUUUAAACAAUUGUACAUAAUUUUGAAAGAAUUAAAAUCAAACAAAAGUCGAGCAACGGUGAUGAUUAAAAACCUACAAAAGCCAACUACAAUAACACACAACAUUAACACAGUAAAUGAUAGUGUACCAUUUGUAGGGAAUUCUAGAUGAUAAGAAACGAUGCGAUGGCAAAGAAGGAAUAGCAUACAUAGUCACCCAUCCCUUCCUUUCGUUCCACUCGCUAUGAUAGGCAGUGCAAAGACGUCGAAAGCGUCGAAAAUUGUUUAUCGUUUUUCUUCACCCAGCUAAAAUCAUUCUGUAAACUACUCCGGAGUGUGAUUGAUAAAAAAUCAGAAGCUUUUCGCAAAGAAACUUACUUAUGGAAGAUUGGGUUUGAUAUCCUUCUUCCUUUACUGAUCGACCUUCAAUGUCAAUCCACCAGAUAAAUGGAUCAGAUCCAAAUAAUCCAGUAGCAGCACCUCUUGGCUUCUAAAAAAUCUGCUAUACUCCGCCACGAUGCUAACUGUUGCGGUUCUUUAUCUUGUGUCUAAUGCCCCAUUGAUCCAUUCGUUCCGGGGCAACGAAGCGAAGCUGUGAAACAUAAAUAUGGGACCCAUUGACCAUUUCCAACUAAGAAUUUACCAAUUAGCUCACAUCGACACUGAGGCUAUGCAACAUUUGGCGCAAUGUUGAAGGCUGACCGGAACGAAACAGAUGGUGUGAGUAUAAAAAUUGUAGCACAUAAACAGGGAGUCGCUGAGUGCGAGGGGAACAGGCUAAGAAGAGAACAUACCUUAUACAGACAUAAACCACAAAUCUCGACGAAAUGGUACGGAAAGUGAACAGUAAAUACCACAUACAACAAAACAUUGACAAUGUGCCUUAAAAUGUGUGUUUUUUUUUUCUUUUUUUGUUUUACGAGCUGUGAAACAAGAACAUAUGAAAUGUAUUUUUCAUAAGGAAUAGAAAAAGGAGAAAACAAAUGGCAAUAAGACCAAGCAGCCUGCGCAAGGGAAUGGACGAAAAGAAAUUCGAGAUAUAGAUAAUCGGAGCCAGUUGUAGGCAAUUUGAGCUGUUAAGUUUCCAAAGAACAGUGUACUUCUUUCAAUGCGCUUGUCGCUUUCUUCGUAAGGCUCAAUAUGGAAACCGAAGUUGAUAAGAGAAAAUCAAUCCAUCGACAAGACAAGGUAUGGUGCCGCGUUGAAAAAUGUAUAUACAUAUGUGAACCACAGUUGACCGACAUUUUUCAUUACACAAUUAAUCCAAUUCACCACCCAUAAGAUGUACAGAAAAUGAUAGAAUAAGAUUUAAAAAAUAAAACAAACAAUUAAACGAUAGUAAAUAAGUGGCUUCCAAAAUGUAUGCCCGCGAGAGAAUUCAGGCUUAGAUUGCUGACUCUUACCAUCGUGCUAAUACUACGAAAUGUUCCUGCAACGGUUCAUAUCAUACGGUGAGAGUGUAUCAAAAUGCAAGGCUUCUUCUGGUGGCUUCAAAGUGGAACUGGAAUUAUAUUGUUGUGCUCGCUGAUGAAACGAAAAUACCGAUAAUCGAUAUAACACGAUUGUUAGUCGUAGUGUGUCGAACCUGCCGUAUCGUUUUGGUCAUACUUCCGAAACAAAAUGUAACACUAAAUAGAAUCGACAGGAGCUUUCGAGCGGAUUCGGAUACUCCCCAACACACGAUCAUUAUGGUACUUAGAUAGCAGUUUUAAUAAUUUGUUGAUUCGAUUAUUAAGAGAACUAGAAAAGGAGAACCAAAACAUAAACUAGUUACCAAAUCCGACACCUAAAAGAAAGGGAUAUAAAAAACAACUAUGGGGCAAGAUACCCCCGGCCAAUGGGGAGAGCUUUUAGAGCGUAAGAGAUAAGAUAAUUAGUGAGGCAGCAAAAUUAUUAGCUAUUGAUAAAUAGAGAAAAUAGAGAGAGAUUCAACCACUUCGUGGAAUGAAUUCCAUAAAUUCCUUGAAUGAUCGUUCUGUGCUAGCUGUAGAGUCUGUAGGCUGUUCGUUAAGUUAUUUUCUGUAAUUUUCACAAUUGCCUAUUGGACAUUAAAUGACGAGGAAUUUUUGGAAAUGGGAAGGGAAACAACAGCCACAGGCGGCAUUGGUAGUGAAACGAAUAGCGUAGGCAGUAUAUAAAUACAAAAGCCGGAUAAAGGAAAUGACACCAACCUAUAACCUACGCCUCGAUGCCUAUUGAAAAUCCGCUGAAACAAAUGCCCCUCUUCUUGUUGCCGUUCCUUAAAUCGUGGAAUUCUAAUACAGCUUGGCUCGUGAAAUGAACGUAAAUGAAAGCGAUCGCGACAGAUAAAAUCGAGUACAUUUAAAAGAAAUUGUUCUGCUACGUAAAGCGUUAUAAAAUAUGAACGUUCAUUAAAAUUUACUAGUGAGCGCGAGAAUGAAAUAGAACGGCGUUUAGUGUUAAAGAGAAAUUGUAAAGUGAUAAUGAAACCAAAACGCAAACCCAGAAACAACCGAGAAGCGCUUGACUUCCCAGCGCCUUGCUCUGCCACAUCCAUGCCAUCUCGGUUAACAGAGCCCUUGGAGGCUACAGAAGUGCAAAACUGAAAAAUCAAAAUAAUCGGCGAGCGAUUCCUAGGGUAGUGCCAUUAUCACGAUUUGCCUCAUUAGCGGGCUCGAGACACAUAUCUCGAUCAAUUAAAACCUCUAGAAUUUCAUGUGGUAUGUAUUUCACACAUGAGCCUUUUCGUUCCCAUUCGCGAUCUCGCGUAUGUGUUGCAAGCAUAGAUUUUAUCCAGUGUAACAUAGUGCAUAAUAACGACUAUUAAAUUAAAUAAAUAUUUAAUUUAACGCUUCGCUUGCACCGGGCUACUUGUAGCCGGAUCGAAUGAGCAGUUCGUUCCUUCAAUGUUUUGCAUUUAUUUUCAAAGUGGAAGGAAAAUUGAACGAGUCACCACUGCAGUGGGAGUUGUUACUUUAUUUUAGUUUUAUUUUAACGAACGAAGCAACGAAAAACAAGCGAACACACAAUACAUGCAAUUUAAAAUGCUUGUUAAACCACUAUAAUUAUGGACUGAGUACGUAUGAAGCGUAAUUCGUACAACACAAGAAAAAUAGUACACACCACUGGUGCAAUAUCGGCACAAACAUACCUUUAUCAUAGAUGGCAAGGCAUAGCAAAGCAAAGAGCAACAAUUAACAUGGCCGAUCGUUCGUCCAGAAGACAACUAAAUACACAGAAAGCAUGGAUGCAACAAGAAACAUCUACACUAUUGUAAUAAGAGAGUUUAGUGUUUCCAAGUCGCCGUUUAAUGUUUACGACCAAAUCAAACGAACAGAGUAAGGGAACGCGAGACACAACGCAGAACAGCCAGAUGGGAUAGAACAGAAUUAUAAUCCAUAAAAGCGGCACAAAAACCUCACGGAAUUCACAUAUGUGAGACGGUGCAGCGUGAGUGUGUGUGUGUGUGUGUAUGUGUGAGUGUGCUAGAAAAUGUCUCGGCAGCACAGGUACGUAGAAUACAGUUAAAAGAUAAAGUUAAAACAUAAUGCUAACUACUGCUCGUUCAUUCAAAAAAUAUAUAUUGAUAUAUAAAAAAGAGAAGAUGAUAAUAUAAAGAUAAACUUAAUAAAAAGGAGUAAUUAAAAACAAAGAAAACUUCACAAGCUAAACAGAAACGUGUUGUAAUUACUGUAAACCUUACUUAAAAACGAUAGAUUAGCGAUUGACCCAAGGAAUGUUUAUAGACCAGAAGAGCGAGUGAAGUCAUGGGAAGAAUCUCGUAAUGUAACCAAUGAGAUAAAGUUUGUAAGCAACAAUUACCACUAACAUUAAACCAAUCUCUAGAAGGAAAAGUCACACAAACAAGGCUCUCGUGGAAAGGCGGAAAAAGAAAGAGGAACCGUAUAUAUGUAUAUGGAUGAAUCUGUUACCCCUAAAGUGAUGCUGUAUAUAACGUAAGACAAAGGAAAAGAGAACAAGAGUAACAGGAAAACAAUGAAAAACAGCAAAAAACAAGU